rnacentral:ncRNA from 1 species
AAAGGCUUGGUCCUGACUUUACUAUUAGCUACAGCCCAAAUUAUACAUGCAAGUAUCCGCACCCCUGUGAGAAUGCCCUCAAUCCCCUGCCCGGGGACGAGGGGCCGGUAUCAGGCACACCCAAAUUGCCCAAGACGCCUUGCCAUGCCACACCCCCAAGGGACUUCAGCAGUAAUAAACAUUAAGCCAUAAGUGAAAACUUGACUUAGUUAGGGUUAUUAGGGUCGGUAAAAUUCGUGCCAGCCACCGCGGUUAUACGAAAGACCCCAGUUAAUAGCUCCGGCGUAAAGGGUGGUUAAGGAAGAUAAGCAAUAAAGCCAAAGCCCUUCUAGGCCGUUAUACGCACUCCGAAGGCGCGAGACCCACACACGAAAGUAGCUUUAAACCCCUCCUGACUCCACGAAAGCUAAGAAACAAACUGGGAUUAGAUACCCCACUAUGCUUAGCCUUAAACCUAGACAUUAUUUUACACACAUGUCCGCCAGGGCACUACGAGCACAGCUUAAAACCCAAAGGACUUGGCGGUGUCUCAGACCCACCUAGAGGAGCCUGUUCUAGAACCGAUAACCCCCGUUAAACCUCACCACUCCUUGUUUUCUCCGCCUAUAUACCGCCGUCGUCAGCUUACCCUGUGAAGGCCCAACAGUAAGCAAAAUGGGUGCGCCCAAAAACGUCAGGUCGAGGUGUAGCGUAUGAAGUGGGAAGAAAUGGGCUACAUUUUCUAAAUACAGAACAUUACGAACAGUGCCUUGAAAACAGGCGCUAGAAGGUGGAUUUAGUAGUAAAAAACAAAUAGAGAGUCCUUUUGAAUUAGGCUCUGAGACGCGCACACACCGCCCGUCACUCUCCCCCUCUUUAACCUAAACACACACAUUAUAUAUAAUUUGACCGCUUAACCCCCGGGGAGGCAAGUCGUAACAUGGUAAGUGUACCGGAAGGUGCACUUGGAAUAA